rnacentral:tRNA from 1 species
GCGGACGUGGCGAAAUUGGCAGACGCACUAGACUUAGGAUCUAGCGCCGCAAGGCAUGUGGGUUCAAGUCCCUCCGUCCGCA